UACGUAGGUGGCAAGCGUUGACCGGAUUUAUUGGGUUUAAAGGGUGCGUAGGCGGCCCUGUAAGUCAGUGCUGAAAUAUCCCAGCUUAACUGGGAGGGUGGCAUUGAUACUGCGGGGCUAGAGUACAGAUGAGGUAGGCGGAAUUGACGGUGUAGCGGUGAAAUGCUUAGAUAUCGUCAAGAACACCUAUAGCGAAGGCAGCUUACUAGGCUGUAACUGACGCUGAGGCACGAAAGUGUGGGGAUCAAACAGG
rnacentral:rRNA from 1 species